rnacentral:rRNA from 1 species
UUUUGCCUUAGGUUGGCCCCGCUGUUAGAUACGCCAGGAAUACUUUCCUUAGUAUUCUUUCACGCUGCUUCCCCAGACCAGCAGCCAUUGCUGCCAGUUCAAGCCAUGACAGGCCAAUGUACUGAGGUGUUUGGGGAAGAGCCAACCAUUAAACCUUUACAUUAAUCUGUCAUUUGAGAUGGCUAUGUGCCAUAAUCUUUAAAUAAGUUAAAACUUUCAACAACGGAUCUCUUGGCUCUCGCAUCGAUGAAGAACGCAGCGAAAUGCGAUAAGUAAUGUGAAUUGCAGAAUUCAGUGAAUCAUCGAAUCUUUGAACGCACAUUGCGCCCUUUGGCAUUCCUCAGGGCAUGCCUGUUCGAGCGUCACUAAUAACCCCUUCACCAACAAUGUGGUAUUGGUUAAAGUGAGUUGCACUAGCGGUGCUGGGCUUACUUGACUGAAAUUGAUAGGCCAGAAAAGCAAACAAUGGCAACAGACUUUCAAAGUAUUAUGAAAUGCUAAACUAGUCUGUAGUUGGUUUGAUUCAGAGCCACUGGGCCCCCAUUAAGUCCAAACUUAGAGAGGUUGACCUCGGAUCAGGUAGGGAUACCCGCUGAACUUAAGCAUAUCAAUAAGCGGAGGAA